AAUCAACGCUGGCGGCGUGCCUCAGACAUGCAAGUCGAACGGCUGCUGUUCGCCUUCGGGUGGACAGCGGAGUGGCGCACGGGUGAGUAACACGUAGGUAAUCUAACCUUUGGGUGGGAAUAACAGCCGGAAACGGCUGCUAAUACCGCAUAAUGCAGCGGCAUCACAUGAUGACAGUUCGUUAAAGCGGGGGAUCGUAAGACCUCGCGCCUGAAGAGGAGCCUGCGGCAGGAUUAGGUAGUUGGUGAGGUAAUGGCUCACCAAGGCCUGCGAUCUGUAACCGGCCUGAGGAGGGCGGUC
rnacentral:rRNA from 1 species